rnacentral:rRNA from 1 species
AGUGAACGCUGGCGGUAUGCCUAACACAUGCAAGUCGAACGGCAGCACAGUAAGAGCUUGCUCUUACGGGUGGCGAGUGUCGGACGGGUGAGGAAUACAUCGGAAUCUACUUUUUCGUUGGUGAUAACGAAGGGAAACUUACGCUAAUACCUCAUACGACCUACUGGUGUAACCAGGCGAUCUUCGGACCUUGCGCGAUUGAAUGAGCCGAUGUCGGAUUAGCUAGUUGGCGGGGUAAAGGCCCACCAAGGCGACGAUCCGUAGCUGGUCUGAGAGGAUGAUCAGCCACACUGGGACUGAGACACGGUCCAGACUCCUACGGGAGGCAGCAGUGGGGAAUAUUGCGCAAUGGGCGAAAGCCUGAUCGAGCAAUACCGCGUGAGUGAAGAAGGCCUUCGGGUUGUAAAGCCCUUUCGUUAGGGAAGAAAAGCAGCAGGUGAAUUCCCCGCUGUUAUGACGGUAGCCAAAGAAUAAGCCCCGGCUAACUUCGUG